rfam:Emmonsia pasteuriana TAMH 9510 supercont1.585, whole genome shotgun sequence.
GCCGGGCUAGCUCAAUCGGUAGAGCGUGCGGCUCUUAGAUUUCACACCUCUUGCUUGUGACCGCAAGGCUGCGGGUUCGACCCCCGCGUUCGGCU